GUCGGUUUUGAAAAAGUGCCCAAUUUCCUUGGUACAGGCCUCUCGAACAUGCCUAAUUUGCUCUAACAGGAUUGAUGACAUCACAUGUUGACUUUGCAUUGGGUGACCAAAUACAGUGUGCCCUAAAAGACAGGCACUUCUGGAGAUGGACCUCUUUAAAGUGGUUUUUGUUUCCCAAAUAUGUUUUUCCAUAGUUUUAUAGUAUUGAACAGGGCAUGACGUCUCA